rnacentral:rRNA from 1 species
UACGUAGGUGACAAGCGUUUGUCCGGAUUUACUGGGCGUAAAGAGUGCGUUAGGCGGUUUUCUAAGUUUGGUGUGAAAUCUCCCGGCUUAACUGGGAGGGUGCGCCGAAGACUGGAAGGCUUGAGUAUGGGAGAGGUAAGCGGAAUUCCUGGUGUAGCGGUGAAAUGCGUAGAUAUCAGGAGGAACACCUGCGGUGUAGACGGCUUACUGGACCAUCACUGACGCUGAGGCACGAAAGCGUGGGUAGCAAACAGG